rnacentral:rRNA from 1 species
GAUGAACGCUGGCGGCGUGCCUAAUACAUGCAAGUCGAGCGAAUGGAUUAAGAGCUUGCUCUUAUGAAGUUAGCGGCGGACGGGUGAGUAACACGUGGGUAACCUGCCCAUAAGACUGGGAUAACUCCGGGAAACCGGGGCUAAUACCGGAUACUCCGUCUUGGCGGCAUCGCCGAGCCGGGAAAAAAUUUUGAUGAAAGAUGGUCGCGCGGCCUCUCAGCUAGUUGGUGAGGUAAAGGCUCACCAAGGCGACGACGGGUAGCCGGCCUGAGAGGGCGACCGGCCACACUGGGACUGAGACACGGCCCAGACUCCUACGGGAGGCAGCAGUAGGGAAUAUUGGGCAAUGGGCGCAAGCCUGACCCAGCGACGCCGCGUGAGGGAUGAAGGUCUUCGGAUUGUAAACCUCUUUCAGUAGGGAAGAAGCGAAAGUGACGGUACCUAAAGAAGAAGCACCGGCUAACUAUGUGCCAGCAGCCGCAGUAA